GACGUAGGGCGCGAGCGUUGUCCGGAUUUAUUGGGCGUAAAGAGCUCGUAGGCGGCUCGUUGCGUCAACCGUGAAAACCCGGGGCUUAACUUCGGGCUUGCGGUUGAUACGGGCGGGCUGGAGUUCGGUAGGGGAGACUGGAAUUCCUGGUGUAGCGGUGAAAUGCGUAGAUAUCUGGAGGAACACCGGUGGCGAAGGCGGCAUCCUGGACCGGUAUUGACGCUGAGGCGCGAAAGCCAGGGGAGCAAACGGG
rnacentral:rRNA from 1 species